AUUGAACGCUGGCGGCAGGCUUAACACAUGCAAGUCGAGCGGGGGAAGGUAGCUUGCUACCGGACCUAGCGGCGGACGGGUGAGUAAUGCUUAGGAAUCUGCCUAUUAGUGGGGGACAACAUUUCGAAAGGGAUGCUAAUACCGCAUACGUCCUACGGGAGAAAGCAGGGGAUCUUCGGACCUUGCGCUAAUAGAUGAGCCUAAGUCGGAUUAGCCAGUUGGUGGGGUAAAGGCCUACCAAGGCGACGAUCUGUAGCGGGUAUGAGAGGAUGAUCCGCCACACUAGGACUGAGAAACGGCCCAGACUCCUACGGGAUGCAGCAGUGGGGAAUAUUGGACAAUGGGGGGAACCCUGAUCCAGCCAUGCCGCGUGUGUGAAGAAGGCCUUAUGGUUGUAAAGCACUUUAAGCGAGGAGGAGGCUACUUUAGUUAAUACCUAGAGAUAGUGGACGUUACUCGCAGAAUAAGCACCGGCUAACUCUGUGCCAGCCGCCGCAGUAA
rnacentral:rRNA from 1 species